GUCCUUUUUGGUUCAUAAGCAUGAUGAUUAGGUGUUCAUGCUUUUGGGAGACAUGUGACUCCCACAAGCCUGGAUAUGAUAACAGUACAUUACCCAUCUGACA
ensembl:snoRNA